CGACCAAAUCUCUCUCCUCUCCCAUCAUUCUCUCCACAACCCGUCUCUACCCUUCAAAUCUUCGCCGUCGGGAAGCCGUCCUCUUGCGUGAGCGCCGCGACGGUGAGUCGCAGCGCAUGAUGUGAGUGACAUCACCCUACUGUGUCGCAUCGUCGCAGAUCGAUGAUGUGAACGUCGAGAGCGCUUCGGCUAGUUCAAUGAUGAUGGUUGCUGUACAGGUGGUUGGUGCAAGUGUGGUGGAUCUGGUGGCAACGCUGUGUGUGGUGGUCGGUUGGGCGAGUGGCGUCGUUUCAGAUAUCAUGAAUAGCGGCAAUAAGUGCCGUCGGGUGAAGUAGAUGCGGUGCACAACCGCUGUUGUUCUGAACGAAGGUGGACAAUCAUAGAUCUGUGAGACUGUGGUCUGGUUGGGGCUUUGGAAUUGUUGAUGAGGAUGACAGAUCUGUGUAGGAGCGGCUGCCGGCGAGGUGAAGAAUAUUGGUGGUGGAAUGGGGUGACCAAUGGCGAGUUCCUGAUUGGGUGGUUGUGGGUGGAUAUAGUUUUACAAAUGGUGGUGUGAUGGUGGUAGUGGUGGAGUGGUGGUGGGGGUCCAAGUGGUAGUGGUGGUGGUUGUUGUGUUUUGGUAGUGUUGGGGAAAACUGGUUGUGGUGGUGGCCAGCAGUUGUGUGGUGUAGGCGAGGUAGUGUGGUGAUAGUCGUUUUCCAGUUGUUGGCGGCUGCGAUUGCGGUGGUGGUGUUGCAAACUUGGUCGACAGAUGGAGCUGGGUUGUGUAUGCUGCAGUUGGAGAAGAAAAGUCAGUGACGAACUGACGUGAGAUGUCGAAAGGACUGUUGGAGCGUGGUGAUCCUUGACGGUCGGUAUGGUGGUGGCGAUAGUCGUAGCGGUGGUUGUGGGUGGGAUGAAAUGGGAUUGGAUUCCCGUGACCAAUUAUUUUGUUGAUUGUGACUCAUAAUUGAAUAUGUGACCUAAAAAUUGUGACGGUGACUCCAAUUGUGAAUCACAAUUUAUUAAGUUGUGAUCGAAAAACCAAUCGUGACCAAUUAAUUUAAUAACUUGCAAUGAGUAAAUGAGUUGUGAUCAAUAAAAGUUUUGAUUUUGUGAUCGAUGAAAAAUCUG
rnacentral:lncRNA from 1 species